GGGGGCGUAGCUCAGCUGGGAGAGCGCCUGCCUUGCACGCAGGAGGCCAGGAGUUCGAGCCUCCUCGCCUCCACCA
rnacentral:tRNA from 1 species